rnacentral:lncRNA from 1 species
UGGAGUCACUCACAGUCAGCUCUUGGAGCUCACGCUUCCUUCUCCAAACUGAGAUGCCCUUACAGAGGUGCAUAAAACCUUGGCUUUCUGGGGCAAUAAAGGACUUGGUUCUGGAAUGCAGAAUCUCUCCUGUGGUAACAGAGCCAAAUGCACCACACAGACAGGAGAGAGCUCGUGGUGCUGGAAGGAUCCUGCCACGCUCUCUGAGCUGCAGGUGGGAGUGAAAGGACAUUAACACCAAUCCUGCAGGGACUGGGGGCACCUCUCCUUCCCUGGUAGGUGGGAGUGAUGUGCUCUGCCUUCCUCCUUCCACACGAAAACCCAUAGGAGGUGCCCAAAGAGGACAAAUCCUUAUAGAAGACUCUUCCUGCGUUUUCUCGCUGAACUUCAGUUUUCCUCAGACUUAUCUGAAGAGGACAGAGGUAUGAAAGAUGAAGUGAUGUUCCUUCCCAUGGCUCCACUGGGGAUGGGAGUAGAGCCAAACCUGGAGUGCAGGCUGAGCCAACCAGGGGCUAGUUGUUCUCCUUCAAAACAAGCUCCUAAGUUAUAAAACUCGCUCCCUGAUGGCUUCCACUGAAAAGGCUGAAAGCACAGCCUGUGUGCUCUGCAUGCAGAACAUGAGCAGAGGCAGGACAGAAACCCGGGGCAUGCAGAGCAUCACCACUCAGCCCUCCAUCUCUUCUCCAUCUCCCCUGAAAUGGAGGAUGACAACUGGGACACCAUUGGCCCUAAGGACAAACGGUCCUGAAGAAGGACUGGCAAACUGCUUGGAGUGGCCAUGCCAGAUGGACAGGAAGAGGCUGUGUUCAAGAACCACGGAGAUGUGGCACAAAGGAACACGGUCAGUGGGCAUAGUGCACAUGGGUUGGGGUUGGACUUGGGCAUCUUAGAGGUCUUUUCCAACUUCAGUUUUUCCGUGAUUCCAUGAAGUUUCCUGCAGCUGGCUCCAUCCCAUUGCCCUGUCCCCACCACUGGGCUGCAAGGCUGAUUUUAAAAGGACACAUUCCCACCUGCAAGCACAAAGCUCCUCAAAGACCAAGAGCAGAGCAGACACAAGCUGCUCGGUGCUGGCUGUCAGCAAAGCUCAGUGGCUCCAGCCCUGCAGGACUCCUGAAAGUCAGUGCGGACUGCCUGGCCGAGCUGCAGGCACGCACGGUGGUAGUAAUGCGGCAGUGAAUCAGACCCUUCGUGUUUUGUUUAAAUAUAAACAUAUUGAAUCAGUGCUUUUUUGUGAGGAAGGCUAUUCUCGCCAGCCAAGUGUUUUGACAGCUACAGCAAGGUGGUAUGAGUCACUGCCUCCGCCUCAGCCAGCCUUGGAGACAGAUACAUCUUAAUCACAUUACAUUUUUUCAACGCCUCACCACAAUCCCAGGCACGGGGCCAACCUUCCCCCCAGGGAUGGAGCGGUGGAUCCUGAGUGCGAAGUUUGCCCUCCCCUCCCGGCCAAGCCCGGCUGCUCGGAAUGCACACAGCAGCGCAGCGGCUCCCGCUGCCAUUAGCGCUAAUGGAAGUUGGGAGCAUAAAUCCCAUGUGUGGCACUGAGGGGAUGGAGGCUGCUGCCUCCCGGAUCUCCCCAGCACAGCUUCAUGAGGUCUUUAACUGUACUUUCA